rnacentral:lncRNA from 1 species
UUUCCUUAUAUGUCUAACCCUGGCCUGGAGCACUGGAGGAUGAGGUCCGCUGACUGCAGCGUCCAUCCUGGUCCUCCCCAGGCACUGUGGCCUCCCUCACAGCAUGGCUGCCUUGGGUACUCGGACUUCACGUGGAAGGCCAGGGCUCCGAGAGCAAAUGCCCCAGCAAGACAGAAGCUCAGCCGCCUUUGAUGACCUAGAAGCUAGGCAGCAUCCAUUGUACUGCCUUCUAUGGGUUGUGAGUGAGUCCCAAACCUGCCUUGACUCAAGGAAACGGAAUUAGGCUCUACGUCUUGACUAGGUAGUGGCGAAGUUCUGGAAGCACAUGAGUAGGAGAUACUGUGACGGUUUCAUCUUUGGAAAAUACCAUCUAGCACACCUGAAUCUGCUUUCAGGGGGUGUAAGGGGAUUUCCAUGGCAAAAUUUGAAGCCACAUGUGGUCACUGCUUUGUACUGAGGAAACAAAGUGCUCUGGGCAUCCAGAAAGGGGGUACGUUUUUUCUUACUGGGAUAAAUCUGGCUGCAUUUUAGCUAAUCCUGGAAAAUUGAUCGACAAAAGCAAAGGACCAAGAAAGCUGCUUAUAUCAGUGUCUCCUCCACCCUCAGCCUCCAGUAGCAUCCCUACGUUUUACAAUUUUAUUUAUGUCACUUUAAAUAAGGCCCUGAAAGCAGCAGAUCUCACCUGCAUUGGAGGAUGAGACGCCACAUGAAGAAGAAAGAAGACGCCACAGACAGCAGCGCAGUACCACCUUCCAGAGAUUUGGAAAUGCAGAAAUCACCUGUCUUCUGCGUCGAUCAGGCUGGGAGCUGCAGACCGGAGCUGUUCCUAUUCGGCCAUCUUGGAAUGGACCCCCAUGUCUUAUUCUCAAAUAAAACAUUUUGGUCAAA